CCACAAUGAUGAAUUUUUAAUGACAAGCAUAUGGCUGAGUAUUGUUGAUGUCAUCUUUUUUUCUGAGAGG